AAAAUUGAAGUAAAAGUUGUUCUAGCCAUACAAACGUAAUGAAUAUUAUUUUUUUAAAGCUGUAAUGUAAUUUGAUGACAUCCUGGGUUUUAGGGAGGUACAACAGAAACCCCCUGUUUUCAGGGACUAGAUGGUAUAUCCCAGUGUCUCCUUCUCUCCCUCUCUCCCUCUCCCUCCUCCUGCUUUUAGUGUCCUCCAUCUAUCUUCCUCUUUCGUAAACUAAGGACAUUUUCACCAAGACCCUUGCAGAGACUCAUCCAUCUGUUAUUCUUGAAAAACUACAGACGUGCUGGAGAGUGAAGCAGCACAGAGCUGACCAAAUAAAGACUCCCCCUGACCAGACCACACCUCUGUCUUUGAGUCGAUGGAAGCCAAGGCCAAGUCCGGGGCUUCAGCACCUAAGGCGCAAACUAAAGCAGAGAAGAAGGAACCGGCAGCCCCACGCAAAGCUGAGCCUGCCCCUGCAGCCACUGCAGCUCCUGUAGCUCCGGUAGCCCCUGCAGCCCCUGCAGCCCCUGAGCCAGAGCAUCCUCCUCCCCAGGAUGGGGCAGCAGAAGCUGAAGCAACAGCAGCAGGUGACGAGGCUGCAGCCUCCGGCACAGACUCUUUGGAACAGCUGAAACCGUUUCUCAUUGGUGGUGCCGUUAUAGCUGCAGGUGCUGUCUUGCUGGGAUUGCUGCUACUGGCGAGGAGAAAUUAAGACAAAAUUAUUAUCUCAAAUUAAAGUAUGUAUUGGGAUAUGAGUUACAGUUGUGUUGGCUGGGGGUUUAGAGACUAUUAUGGGACAGGUGGGGGGUGGGGAGUCACUCUUUAUCUUAUGUUUUUUUUAAAUUUUUAGCCUGCUUUCACUUAUAGUGAAUCCAAUCACUCAAGUUUCGAUAAAGAACAUAAUUGCACAUAAUAUAUGCAUGAAUUUGCUUCAAUACUACAUCCGAACUGUAUAAACCCAUUUUCUUAAAGAAAGUCUGAGCUAAGAGCUUAAACUCUCUAAAGGUAGCUACUUUUACUUAUCCUGUUUUCACAAAUAUUAACAAAAGUUUGCAAAAUAUAUAAAUCCUUGCUCCAGAAAUCAGCCUGGUUCACUUGGCUAAUAAUUCUGGCUAUCAGAGUUCUCCUAAAGUUUAUUUCACCUUUGAAUGAGACAAUUGAAAGAGUAUGUCUGAAAACGGAUAAAAUGGUUUGUUUAAAGAAGAGUAGAAAAAGUUUAGUGUGGUUUAGUAUGGCAUUUAGCAGAUUGUAAGACAUAAACCAUGUACUGUACGUGUCAGAGAAAUAUAUUGUAGACUUACCUUUUGCUGUAGAAUAAGAAAGAGUUUUACUUUACUGUUAAAUGAUGUCACAAAUCAAUAACCUUUUAUGUCUCACAACAUCCACGGUUCAAUCAUAGAAUAGAUAGUUGUAGCAGGCUGAACGGGCCAUUAGUGUUGCAUUAUCAGGUUUAAAAGCCUGCUACAAAAACUUAAGAGUUUAUGUCUUCACUGUGCUCCACACAUGAGGAGAAAAACCAACUCCAACCAUCAGACAUAAUCAUGUACAACUUUAUUGUAAUGAGAGGUUGUUAUUACAAUGCAAGUGGGGUCUAUAUGUUACUGUUACUACACUGUUGAGUUGUAGUAAAAUUAUACUUCCACACUUAACGUGUUAAAGGGAGCUCUCAAUGGUACAGCUGUACAGUUAGUGCACAUUCAUUAUGUAAAGCUCAUGGGGAUGUUACUGUUGCAUAAGUAGAUCGCAGACAGACGGUUCUGACCAUUAUUGUAGUGCAUUACUGGCCCAAACUAUUGUGAUAACAUAUCUCAUGAAACCACACCUCAAAUCCAUAAAAAAGAAAGUUCACAUUACAUUGUACAAGGCAGUGUUCCAAUAAAAAGAGAAAUCCUAUUUUCAUAAUGUUAACAGCGUAUAAAUGCAAUAAUUCAGAUAGGACUCCUCAUUUAGAACCAGUGCUGUAGCAAGAUAAAGUACAUAAAUGAUGAUAUGACGAUAUUCUUGGUGAUAAUGAUGUAUGAAGUUAGUGAAUGCAAUGAUGGCGAUGAUACAAAUGAUGACUGCAAUGAUUAUGUUUAUGAUACCAAUGGUUAUGAUAUAUUUUUGAUAUAUUUCUAACAUAUUUCCCUUAUGUACACUCCCCUCUUCCCCCAAACUCCUAAAUGUAAAAAAAGAAGAGGUCAUAAUCUAACCUUUAUUAAAGACAGUGAACCAGCCCAAGGAAAUAUUUCUUAAUUUGUAA